rnacentral:rRNA from 1 species
AACGUUCUGGCUUUGCCAGGACAAGUACAGUGGCGGACGGGUGCGUAUCGCGUAGAUAACCUGCCCUCAGGCGCGGGACAAUCACGGGAAACCGUGGCUAAUACCGCACGUCGUCUGGAGCCCGCAUGGGGACCAGAUGAAAGCCUUCGGGCGCCUUUGGAUGGGUCUGCGUUGGAUUAGCUUGUUGGUGAGGUAACGGCUCACCAAGGCAACGAUCCAUAGCUGGUCUGAGAGGACGAUCAGCCACACUGGGACUGAGACACGGCCCAGACUCCUACGGGAGGCAGCAGUGGGGAAUCUUGCACAAUGGGGUCACCCCUGAUGCAGCCAUGCCGCGUGGAGGAAGACACCCCUAUGGGGCGUAAACUCCUUUUCUGAAUGAAGAAACCCCUGUAGCUUCAGGGCGCGACGGUAGUUCAGGAAUAAGCACCGGCUAACUCCGUGCCAGCAGCCGCGGUAAUACGGAGGGUGCAAGCGUUGUCCGGAAUCACUGGGUGUAAAGGGUGUGCAGGCGGGGCAGCAAGUCGGAUGUGAAACCCCAUGGCUUAACCAUGGAGGUGCAUUCGAAACUGUUGCUCUUGAGUCCCGGAGAGGCUGUCGGAAUUCGUGGUGUAGCGGUGAAAUGCGUAGAUAUCACGAGGAACACCAGAGGCGAAAAGCGGACAGCUGGACGGGUACUGACGCUCAGGCACGAAAAGCG